GACGAACGCUGGCGGCGUGCUUAACACAUGCAAGUCGAACGGAAGGGCCCUGCGUUUGUGGGGUGCUCGAGUGGCGAACGGGGGAGUAACACGUGAGUAACCUGACCUUGACUUUGGGAUAACUUCAGGAAACUGGGGCUAAUACAGGAUAGGAGCUGCUGCUGCAGGGUGGGGGGUGGAAAGUUUCGGCGGUUGGGGAUGGACUCGCGGCUUAUCAGCUUGUUGGUGGGGGAGUGGCUUACCAAGGCUUUGACGGGUAGCCGGCCUGAGAGGGUGACCGGCCACAUUGGGACUGCGAUACGGCCCAGACUCCUACGGGAGGCAGCAGUGGGGAAUAUUGCACAAUGGGCGGAAGCCUGAUGCAGCAACGCCGCGUGCGGGAUGACGGCCUUCGGGUUGUAAACCGCUUUCGCCUGUGACGAAGCGUGAGUGACGGUAAUGGGUAAAGAAGCACCGGCUAACUACGUG
rnacentral:rRNA from 1 species